rfam:Arsenicicoccus sp. oral taxon 190, complete genome.
GCCGGCCCCCCGCGUGGUGGUACCUCUCCCAACUCCCCCAGGGCAGGAAUGCAGCAAGGGUAAGAGAGCUCUUCCAGGUGCGCGGGGGGUCCUGCAU